UACAGAGGGGGCAAGCGUUGUUCGGAAUUACUGGGCGUAAAGGGCGCGUAGGCGGCCUGUUAAGUCGAACGUGAAAUCCCUGGGCUCAACCCAGGAACUGCGUCCGAUACUGGUAGGCUUGAAUCCGGGAGAGGGAUGUGGAAUUCCAGGUGUAGCGGUGAAAUGCGUAGAUAUCUGGAGGAACACCGGUGGCGAAGGCGGCAUCCUGGACCGGUAUUGACGCUGAGGCGCGAAAGCCAGGGGAGCAAACGGG
rnacentral:rRNA from 1 species